rnacentral:rRNA from 1 species
CACUACGGCCAUGUCACCCUGAACAAGCCCGAUCCUGUCUGAUCUCAGAAGCUAAGCAGGGUUGGGCCUGGUUAGUACUUGGAUGGGAGACCACCUAGGAAGACCAGGUGCUGCAGGUG